rnacentral:rRNA from 1 species
UACGUAGGUGGCAAGCGUUGUCCGGAAUUAUUGGGCGUAAAGCGCGCGCAGGCGGUCCUUUAAGUCUGAUGUGAAAGCCCACGGCUCAACCGUGGAAGGUCAUUGGAAACUGGAGGGCUUGAGUACAGAAGAGGAAAGCGGAAUUCCACGUGUAGCGGUGAAAUGCGUAGAGAUGUGGAGGAACACCAGUGGCGAAGGCGGCUUUCUGGUCUGUAACUGACGCUGAGGCGCGAAAGCGUGGGGAGCAAACGGG